rnacentral:lncRNA from 1 species
AUCGGCCUCACUGCUGAAGAUCAAUUCAGAAGUCUGAUAAGUGUGAUGAGGAAUCUUUUCCCAUGAGCUCAGAGGUUCUCUCGCCAAACAGUAAGAAAAGCUAAAACAUUGUGCCUGUAAUAGUUCUUCUCACCACCCGUCUGCUUCUUUUAAUUCUUUCCAAAGAGAUUACUUUUAUCAGCUGGAUUAACAGCUGUCAAUGGGCUGAUGAAGAUUUAACUUGUGCAAGUCCUCCUCGAGAGAAAAGAUUUCAAUAAUUGUCAAGACAUCCUACAUCAACUUUUUGAGGUCACUUCCAACCUGGACCACCCAUGAACACUGCAGAGCAGCUAUUUAAGAUAAUCUCAAUGUGCUUGGUGAGAACAACCUAAGAAAAUAAACUAGGAAAAUAAAAGGACA